rnacentral:rRNA from 1 species
GAUGAACGCUGGCGGCGUGCCUAACACAUGCAAGUCGAGCGAAGCACUUACUUUAGAUUUCUUCGGAAUGACGAAGUUUGUGACUGAGCGGCGGACGGGUGAGUAACGCGUGGGCAACCUGCCCUGUACAGGGGGAUAACAGUUAGAAAUGACUGCUAAUACCGCAUAAGCCCACAGCUUCGCAUGAAGCAGUGGGAAAAACUCCGGUGGUACAGGAUGGGCCCGCGUCUGAUUAGCUAGUUGGUAAGGUAACGGCUUACCAAGGCGACGAUCAGUAGCCGACCUGGGAGGGUGACCGGCCACAUUGGGACUGAGACCCGGCCCAAACUCCUACGGGAGGCAGCAGUGGGGAAUAUUGCACAAUGGGGGCAACCCUGAUGCAGCGACGCCGCGUGAGCGAUGAAGUAUUUCGGUAUGUAAAGCUCUAUCAGCAGGGAAGAAAGUGACGGUACCUGACUAAGAAGCCCCGGCUAACUACGUG